GAUGAGUUACGAGGGCGUAACUCGUUUUCUUUAAGAGGGGUAGAAUGCGAUAGAAAUUCGCGCUUUUUACCUAUUUUUAUGGUAUUUUUAUGCAUUUUUAUGCUUAUUUUAGCAAAUUAUGCACGUUGACGCAAGUAAUUAGAUUCUCUGCAUAAGAAAAGCGUGUUCAUGAGUAACACAAACAACUUUAAGUUGGCAAAAGAGUGCACAUGAGUGGCACAAGUACUUCUUUAGUAUGAAUAAGUUGAAAACUUUUGAAAAAGGUGUGAAUUUCCGUGUCAAGUUUCGGGACGAAACUUCUUUUAAGAGGGGUAGAUUGUAAUCCCCCGUAAAUUUAUAAAUUUUAUUAAUGUAUUUUAACAUAUAGUUAAUUAUAUUUAAAUAGAAUUUACGAAUUUUAGAAAUAAAUAUGUAAUUAACGAAUAUUUAUUUUUAUAUAUUUUAAAUAUUUCAACGAUUUAUGAAAUCAAAAAUAAUUUUAGAAUUUUCCGUUGAAAAGAAUUAGAAUUACAAAAACACGUUCGAUUGAAUUUAGAAAACAAUCCUAAGCGGUGUUGAUUCAAGUUCUAAACUAAAUCCUAACUCUAGCCCAAUUGGGUGAAGCCCAAAAUAACAAAAAGCCAUAACACUUUACUCCAUCCUCUUUCUAUUUCACGUGAAAAACCAAAAACCCCAAAACCCUUUCCCUCCUCAAUUUCACGUAAAGAAAAAGAGAACAGAACCCCCUCCUUCAAUUCUCCCUCACGCUGCUUCCCUUGCUGCUGCCCAGCCGCCGACCACCUAUCGCCGCCGCGACCACCGUCCUCGUCGUCGCCGCCACCGAGCUGCGACCACCACCGCCCACCGUGCAGCGCCAGCCGUGCCACCAACCGCGUUCAACACCGCUGCCCAGCUGCCGCACCACCGGCAACCACCGUGCAGACACCACCGUCCGCCGCACUCCUCCGACCAGUGCCGCCGCCCAUCUCUGCUGCCGCGCCGCCCUGCCCGCCGGCCAGCACCUCCCUCUCUCCCAUUUUUGGCGGAGAAUUCUCUCUAGGCGACUUUUGAAAGUGUUAAAGUGGCCUAUUAGUUUGUUUACACAAGUCUCUAAGGAUCAAUAAGCGUUGCCCAUCUACAGGUUUGAAGAUGAUGCAUCAUUGGGAUCGGGAUUAGAGAGCUUGUAGUUCAUUUGAUUUUCUAAGUUGGUUUUGGUUUGUUUAAGUGGACUCUAAAACUUAUUGAAUUAGUAACAUUAACUUUGUUUUUCGUUGAUUGGUUUUUGGGAUUUAUUCUGAAAAUGAUUAUUUAUAAACCUACAGUUAGUUUUAUGUUUUCCGCUGCAAAAUUCUGAAUAAGCCGUUACGUUUUCAC